rnacentral:rRNA from 1 species
GAUGAACGCUGGCGGCGUGCCUUAUACAUGCAAGUCGAGCGAACAGACGAGGAGCUUGCUCCUCUGACGUUAGCGGCGGACGGGUGAGUAACACGUGGAUAACCUACCUAUAAGACUGGGAUAACUUCGGGAAGCCGGAGCUAAUACCGGAUAAUAUAUUGAACCGCAUGGUUCAAUAGUGAAAGACGGUUUUGCUGUCACUUAUAGAUGGAUCCGCGCCGCAUUAGCUAGUUGGUAAGGUAACGGCUUACCAAGGCAACGAUGCGUAGCCGACCUGAGAGGGUGAUCGGCCACACUGGAACUGAGACACGGUCCAGACUCCUACGGGAGGCAGCAGUAGGGAAUCUUCCGCAAUGGGCGAAAGCCUGACGGAGCAACGCCGCGUGAGUGAUGAAGGUCUUCGGAUCGUAAAACUCUGUUAUUAGGGAAGAACAAAUGUGUAAGUAACUAUGCACGUCUUGACGGUACCUAAUCAGAAAGCCACGGCUAACUACGUG